CGGAGGAUCCAAGCGUUAUCCGGAUUUAUUGGGUUUAAAGGGUGCGUAGGCGGCCUGUUAAGUCAGGGGUGAAAGACGGUAGCUCAACUAUCGCAGUGCCCUUGAUACUGAUGGGCUUGAAUGUACUAGAGGUAGGCGGAAUGUGACAAGUAGCGGUGAAAUGCAUAGAUAUGUCACAGAACACCAAUUGCGAAGGCAGCUUACUAUGGUAUGAUUGACGCUGAGGCACGAAAGCGUGGGGAUCAAACAGGAUUAGAUACCCUGGUAGUCCACGCCCUAAACGAUGAAUACUCGAUGUUAGCGAUAUACAGUUAGCGUCAAAGCGAAAGCGUUAAGUAUUCCACCUGGGGAGUACGCCCGCAAGGGUG
rnacentral:rRNA from 1 species